UCUUGCUGUACUUGUCUGUCUCACUACUGUAAAAUAAGCAGUCCUUUCAUAGAGAAAUUAUUCUUAUAAAUGGUCAAAAAUAGCUUAUUUUCCUUCAUCGAUAUUUAUAUUUGAAGUAUUCUGACAUAUUGGCUUUACUGUGUAUUCAGUUCAGCAAAGAUGGUGUACGAGCUCUACGGAGAUUUGAUACUUUUGACAAGGAAGUUUGUAGAAUGUUUCUUGGGUUCUAGGAAGGUCGAACAGAAACUUUAAAAACAGGUCUAGUGGGUUACAGAGGUACUGAUGGGUAACAAACAGGUCUAGUGUGCUGUGGGGGGAGGGGAGCUGUGGUGUACAAUUAUUAUAAACAAUCAAUUGUUUGAGGGAGCAGUGAUGAACUUGUCUACUAUAGCUGAAAUCUGUGGAUUGUAAAUGUAGAUUUAAAUGUGAUGUCAUAAUGCUUUCUGAAACAUGUGGUCCAGGGUUUUGUCAGUUUCUAUUCAGGUGAACUCUAUUGCAUAGCGGGGCCAGUACUUUCUUAUGAUGAAGUAGAUUGUGUAAAGAAAAUAUAAGAGAACAAAAUUAAAAGAAAUACUGUAAUAUGAAAUGUGUUUGAAGGGUAAUUUCAUGUGAGCUCCUGCAAAUGUUUUGAGACACAAUCCUUAUAAAAUGUAUCCAUAAAUUUCAUUCAUUUUUUGUACAGAUAUUCAACAUUUAAAAAGUUAGGUACAAAAAUGCAUGAGCAUUAUACCAUCUCUUUAAAAUACUGUAUCCUCUUAAAUUAUAAUUGAAUUACGCAAUGUUCUUGGAAAGGCCAUUUUAAAAAAGAACCAAGGAUUUUAAGAUAGGAGAUAAAUAAAGUGUGUGCAGUUCUUUAGGUUUGUUUAGCAGUUUCAACCUUGACCAAGAUCCCACUGUCCUAUGAGCCCGAGGUCAGGUGUUUUUUUACUGAAAGUCAACCAGUGUUGUGUUUCACUGUUCCAACACUUCCAGUCAGCAGCCAUGCUCCUCUGCAUACCUUUCACCACACAAUUAUCACACAGACAAGGCAACAUUUUUCAAAGUAUAAAGUAUGCUCAAGCUUAAAAAAAUAAACUAUAGCCUCUCAUCUUAUGCACACUGAAGAGGAUAGCAACAAACAAACCGUGGAUUUUAUUUCAAGACAAGUCCUUUACAAUUACCAAUUAAAACCUUUUAUCACAAUACAUAUGCAUUCCUGCCCCUCUUCCCAGUCAAUGAUGUGAACAUAGUGUGGGUGGGGAUAAUUACAUUUGUUGUUUUGAGAAAACCUUCUCCCAUAAGAGCGCUUAGGGGCUUGAGCAAGACACUUUCUCCACAGACAAACAUGUGGACAAACCCAUACAGUAGAGAACUCCAUGUGAAUUUGAUUUAUGUGCAAAAUUUGAGAUUGUGCCAAAGA
rnacentral:lncRNA from 13 species